rnacentral:misc_RNA from 1 species
UGUAGGAGCCGGCUUGCUGGCGAUAGCGUCGGAUCAGUCAAAAAACAGGUUGGCUGACCCACCGCUAUCGCCAGCAAGCCGGCUCCUACA